UUCAAAUAUUUGUCAUUUUAAUGUUAUUUAUCCGUUUUUAAUGUUUUAAUGUGUGUGAUAGUUGUGAUAUUAGCAAUUUUGAAAGGAUUCUGAAGAAAAAAUUGCUGUAUUAAGGUGCAAGGAUUCUGAUAUUGGAGCGAACAAAAAGGAGAUGUGUUAUCUGUUCGAAAUCCAGUGAUUUGCACAUAACGAUGUAUAUUUUUUCACGAAAUGUAUAUUAUAAUAUACUUUCUUGGAUCGUA